rnacentral:rRNA from 1 species
CCUACGGGAGGCAGCAGUGAGGAAUAUUGGUCAAUGGGCGAGAGCCUGAACCAGCCAAGUCGCGUGAGGGAGUACUGCCCUAUGGGUUGUAAACCUCUUUUGUCGGGGAGCAAAAGCCGGACGUGUCCGGCUGUGAGAGUACCCGAAGAAAAAGCAUCGGCUACCUCCGUGCCAGCAGCCGCGGUAAUUCGGAGGAUGGGAGCGUUAGCCGGAUUUAUUGGGUUUAAAGGGUGCGCAGGCGGAUUUUUAAGGUAGCGGUCAAAACGUGGGGGUCACCCCCAUCCAGCCGUUGACACUGGGGAUAUAGAGGGUGCGAGAGGUAUGCGGAAUGCGUGGUGUAGCGGUGAAAUGCAUAGAUAUCACGCAGAACCCCGAUUGCGAAGGCAGCAUACCGGUGCACAACUGACGCUCAGGCACGAAAGCGUGGGUAUCGAACAGGAUUAGAUACCCCUGUAGUC